GACACCUGGGCACAGUGGCCGUGGUUCCCGUGGGAAGUGUCGAGGGAUUCUGAAGAGGAAUCUCCCUGUAAUGAAUUCGGUGUCAGGGAACCCGCACUCCCUCCCCCCAACUUCACCUCCUUACCCUGCAGCCUCUGGCUCCUCUCCACGAAUAAUGCAGGGGACACUUUCUCGAAUCCUCAGUCUGGACCCCAACCCCAGGGCAGCUCCCACAUCCAUCACCAAAGUCGGUGCCCACCCUGCUUACUCUCUAGCCUGCAGCCACAGACUCUGGCGGCCCCAGCAGACAAUCCUCGCUGACAGGCUGGAGUGCAGUGGUGUCAUCAUAGCUCACUGGAACCUCAUACUCCUGGACUCAAGUGAUCCUCCUGCUUCAGCCUCCUGAGUAGCUGGGGUUACAGGUGUGUAUUACCACAGCUGGCUAAUUUUUCUUUCUUUCUUUUUUUUUUUUUAA